rnacentral:rRNA from 1 species
AUUGAACGCUGGCGGCAGGCCUAACACAUGCAAGUCGAGCGGAUGAAGGGAGCUUGCUCCUGGAUUCAGCGGCGGACGGGCGAGUAAUGCCUAGGAAUCUGCCCGGUAGUGGGGGAUAACGUCCGGAAACGGGCGCUAAUACCGCAUACGUCCUGAGGGAGAAAGUGGGGGAUCUUCGGACCUCACGCUUUUAGAUGAGCCUAGGUCGGAUUAGCUAGUUGGUGAGGUAAAGGCCUACCAAGGCGACGAUCCGUAACUGGUCUGAGAGGAUGAUCAGUCACACUGGAACUGAGACACGGUCCAGACUCCUACGGGAGGCAGCAGUAGGGAAUCUUGGACAAUGGGCGAAAGCCUGAUCCAGCCAUGCCGCGUGUGUGAAGAAGGUCUUCGGAUUGUAAAGCACUUUAAGUUGGGAGGAAGGACAGUGAGUUAAUACCUGGCUGUUUUGACGGUACCAACAGAAUAAGCACCGGCUAACUUCGUG